GGGAAGCGAAGAGGGGUUGUUACAAAAAAAAGAAAAGACGCUUUUCUUAGAUUUGCAACACAUCGAAAAACCGGGGAAACACCCCGCGUCGUCCGAUUGCUUUAAAACCCGCGAGGGCCUUCCGGGUUUUAAAGCGAGCCUCUCGUUUUCAACGUCCUCCACCUCCGCCGAGCUAGGAUUCGAGGAGUCCGAGCAAAAAGUUCUCCCCCUGGGUCGUAUCGAGGGGUGUCAGGAUGGGAGUGGGGGAAUUUUUCGAGCAGUAGCAGCCACCACUCCUACCCCGGCUUCGAUCGCUGGGCCGGGGUAGAGGUAGAGAGCAAAAUCCUGGCCGGCUGGCGCCGAAGGGCUUCCGGGGGGAAGUCGGAGCAGGAAGACCGCGCUUCGCGCUUCUCCCCUCGGUCUUUUCCUCCCGUCCCCUGCCAGCUCCCCCUUUAAUUUUUUUUCUCUCCUUUAAUCUAAUUUCUUCCAACUCCACCUUUGUUGUUACCGGCGUCACUCCGGGACCAGCCAAUCCCCGUCACGCAAUCAGCUUGUCAAAAAGGCUUGGCCAGCCCUGGGAAAGCAGGCCGCGGGCGCUGCCCCCCCCCAACCCCGGCGGCUGGGAACCGCGAGGGGAUCCCGGCGCCCCGGCCUCGCCGCCGGAGCCGCAGCGGGGAAGGUCCCUCGCAGGCCGCCCGCACUCCACCCUCCUGCGGGCGGGGGAUGGAAGGGCCUGGGCGCCGACCACCAUCCAUCCCCCACUGCCGCCAGCUGUCGUUGUCGGUCUCGGCCUUCCCUGCUCCGAGGAAGGGUUAUCUGGACGCAGGGAGCCAGAAAACAGUCUGAAGAACGCCUGCUUCCCACAGGCCAGGCUAGGGGUUGUGCUUUCGCUGCACGAGCAGCGCCAUCGCUCCUGGCUCCCAGUUGCCAGUGGCCCUCUCCAACACUGCUACUGCCACAUCGACUCGCCAGUUGGGUCACCAGCCCCUUUGGAUUCUCCCCUGGCACACAGCCUACUCCAGCCUCACACAGGGCCUCGAUGCUGCUGUAAUUCCUCUUGUCUCCUGGGAGAAACGAGAUCCUCUUCCCAGGGUUUCCACAUCCACAUCUGCCACGUUUCACAAAUAGGGAGGAAAAUCCUUGUCAAGAUCUGGUGUGUCCAGAGCUUUUAGUGGGCAGGGCAUGCAGGGAAGGCACUUUGUUCUUGUUGUUAGGCGCCAUGGAGUCAAUUUCAACUCAUAGCGACCCCAUAUGACGCAGUAGAACUGCUCCAUAGAGUUUUCUUGGCUGUACUCUUUAGGGAGCCCACCGUGAAGGCUUUUCUCCCGUGGAACAGCAAGGUGGGUUAGAACUGGCAAACUUUUGGUUAACAACCAAAUGCUUCACCAUUGCCACACCAUGCUAAUGAAGCUUAAGCUUCAAGGCCUCUCCCUGGCAGAGCCGGGCCAAAAGCCCUGUACUUAAUUUUGUUUUUAACAUUUGGUAUUUUCCUGAAAGAGCGCCUACCUCAAAUUGUCUAAGCUUCAGGCUCCACAGACCCAGAUCUGCCCCGGAACACAGGCAGGGCAUUCAUUUUGUGUCCGAUCAAGACACCUCUCCUGUGCUAAAGAGUGAGGCACGGACUAAAUUCUGUUUAGACUGAGAAAGAGCAAAGAGUUAGUUUGAAGUCAAAAGUCCCAGCUUCACCACCCUCUUAAGAAUUCCAAUUUCCACAUCUGCAAAAUUAGACUAGCCAUCCUAUUUACUCUGCUAAAAUUUUGUAAAACUGUAAAAUAGACUACAGAUGUCACUUGCCACAAAGACAUUGGGAAAAACUUAGACCCCCCAAAAAUUCCAACUAUUUCACACACGGAUUUGGAGUCCAGGUGUCCUGGCUCCUGGUCCUGAACUUCUUGGCUGGGCCAAGGGACCUUUCGGUAAAGUGCUUUGGAACAAAACAGGAUGGACAUGAAUCAUAAGAAUGAUUAUUAUUGAUUUUUCGUUCCUUGGGUAGCAAAAAUCAUGGCUGGCACUCUUCCUACUUGGAAACCCAUUGGCUUGUUUUAUAUCCAUUGCAUCUCUGAUGAGGUCAAGAGUUUAGGACUUGGGCUAUGGGCCAAGUCUAGGACUUGGGCUAUGGGCCAGAGCUGAGAGAAUUUGCCCUUGGCCCUUUUUCUUUGUCCUCUUUCCCAACCCUCCAACCCCCUCUAGUUUCUGGCAUAAGCCUUGAAGCAGAUCCUCAGCAUUCCAUGACCCAGCCCAGGCUGGUGAGGAGGCAUAAGCCUUAGCUACACCUUUGCCACUUGGCCCCAGCUCUUCCCUGGUUGCCAGCAUCCCAGCACUAGCCCACAUAAAAACCUCGUAGUGUGUUCACAAAGUCUGGUGUUUGAGUUCCUGGUGUGCGUGAAUAAUUUCAGUGGCACAUAGAUUAACGUAUUUUCGGGGUUGCAUGUACUAACGUGUAUUGAAAUGUGUUUUAUUUUUAUUUAAGAUAGUUGUAAAGUCUUCCCCCCUCACCUGUUUUGGAACCAUUGUUCCUUUAUUAUUCUUUUUAUUUAUUUUUUUCUUUUUUAGGAAGGUAUAGUUUACAGACAGUAAUGAGUCGGAAUCAACUUAAAGGCCAUGGUUUUUUGUUUUUUGUUUUUGGUAUGCAUAGUAUGGAGUCCCUGAGUAGUGCAAACGGUUAGUGAGCUUGGCUACUAACCAAAAAGUUGGUGGUUCGAGUCCACCCAGAGGCACCUCAGGAGAAAAGCCUUGCAAUCUAUUUCUAAAAAAACAGCCAUUGAAAACCCUGUGGAAUACAGUUCAACUCUGACACACGUGGAGAUGCUAUGAGUCAGAAUAGACUUGAGGGCAACUGGUGGUGGUAUCUAUAGUAUCCAUGUUACAUAUGUAGCUACCGUGUAACUGCCACCCAGGUCAAGAUAUUGAACACUUCUAGCACCUGCAAGCUUACUCAAAGUCAAUAUCCCCCUCCAGAUGUCACCAAUAUUCUGAGCUCUAUCAUAUAGCUAAGUUUUACCCAUUUUUUAAUUUCAUGCACGUGGAAUUAUACAGUGUAUACUCUUCAUGGAAACCCUGGUGGCGUAGUGGUUAAGUGCUAUGGCUGCUAACCAAAGGGAUGGCAGUUUGAAUCCGCCAGGCGCUCCUUGGAAACUCUAUGGGGCACUUCUAUUCUGUCCUAUAGGGUCGCUAUGAGUCAGAAUCAACUCGAAGGCACUGGGUUUGGUUAUACUCCUUUACCUCUGGCCUCUUUCACCCAACAUGAUGUCUGAGAUCGAUUUACGGUAUUGCAUGUAGCCAUAGUUCGUUCCUUUUCCUUGCUAUAUAGUAUUCCAUUGCAUGAAUGCACCACAAUCUAUCCAUUCUAUUUCUAAUGGAAUUUGGGUUGCUUCCAAUUGUAUGGCUAUAAAGCUACCUUGAACAUUCCUGUGGAUAUCUUUUGAGGACUAUAUGCAUUCAUUCCUCUUGGAUAUAUUUCCAGAAGUGGAAUUCCUGCAUCUUUUUUCCUAAAUGGUUGUAACAAUUUACCCUCCACCACCAGUGUAUGAGAAUGCCUGGUGCUCCACAUCUUCACCAACACCUAAUAUUGUCAGUCCUUUUUAUUGUAGUCACUCUAGUGGGCAUGUAGUGGUACCUCAUUUUGGUUUUAAUUUCUCUGGUAACUAAUGAUGUUGAGCACCUUUUCACAUAUAAAAUCAUCUUUUUAAAUAUGUUUAUUUGAGUUUUAAAGCUGAGUCAGUGAAAAGAACAAUAGUAAGGAAAGAAUAGUAUUAGUGGCUCAAAGAUCUGGCAAAGAUAAUUAAGGUGAUGUGUGAAUGACUUAAGUUCAGAAAACCCUAUAGCUGCACUGUCUAAUAGGGUAGCCACUAGCCACAUGUGGCUAUUUAAGUUUAAAUUAAUUGAAAUGAAAUAGAAUUGAAUAUUCAGUUCCUCAGUCACACUGGCCACACUUCAGGUGCUCCAUAGCCAUAUGUGGCUAGUGGUGAACCUAUGGACAAUAUAGAUAUAGAAUAUUCCCAUCGUCAAGUAAAGGGCUGUGUCUUUGUUAUCUAGUGCUGCUAUAACAGAAAGACCCCAAGCAGAUGGCUUUAACAAAGAUAAAUUUAUUCUCUUACAGUCUAGGAGGCUAGAAGUCGGAAUUUAGGGUGCCGGCUCCAGGGAAAGGCUUUCUCUGUCGGCUCUGAGGGAAGGUCGUUGUCAUCAAUCUUCCCUGGUCGAAAAUCUCAAUGCAGGGACCCUGAGUCCAAAGGAUGUGAUCUUCUCCUGGCUCUUGUUUCUUGCUGGUAUGAGGUCCCCUGUCUCUCUGCUUCUCUCUUUUAUAUCUCAAAAGAGACUGACUUAAGAGAUGACCUAAUCUUGUAGACUGAGUUCUGCCUCAUUAACAUAAACUGCCCCUAAUCCUGCCUCAUUAGUUUCACAGAAGUAUGUGAUGGUUAAGGUUGUGAGCCUUGAUUCUCAGUGUUUAUAUGUGAUCACUCCCAUGAUGGAAUCUGUUGUGAGUAGGGGAUCAGUGGAAGGGGUGUUUCCUUGGGGGUGUGGCCUGCAUCAGAAUAUAAGCAGAUAUUCUGGCUUUUUGCUGGCUGUGGAUCUGCAGCUGCCUCCAGUUCGUCUGACCUCUGGUUCUUGGGACUUGAGCUAUCAGCUUAUUUUCUGAUCUUGGGAUUCCUGAUCUUCACAGCCUGUGACCAGGAGCCCUGCUCUCUGACCUGCUAAUCUUGGGUUCACUGCCCCUGCAGCUACGUGAAUGGAGAGACGACUUCUAUCCUGAUCCACGGACUUGGGACGUUCCAGCCUCUACAACUGUGCUCAACUUCCCGUUGCUGUCGAGCUGAUGCCGACUCAGGACCAGGAGGCCGUGUUUCGUUCUGUUGUAUGCAGAGUUGCUAUGAUUCAGAACCGACUCACCAGCACCUAACAACAGACUCAAUUUGCUGAUAUUUUUGGGUCUAUGCUUAUGAGUGGUUAAGCAUGCUAACCAAAAGGCUGGCAGUUUGAAUUCACCAGCUACUCCUUGGAAAUCCUGUGGGGCAGUUCUGCUUUGUCCUGUAGGGUGGCUAUGAAUUGGAAUCAACUCAACGGUAACAGAGAACCCCUGAGGGAGCAGAAGAGCAGUGGGAUGCAGACCUCAAAUUCUCAUAAGACCAGACUUAAUGGUCUGACUGAGACUGGAAGGACCCCGGUGAUCAUGGCCCCCAGACCUUCUGUUACCCCAGGACAGGAACCAUUCCCGAAGCCAACUCUUCAAACAUGGAUUGGACUGGACAAUGGGUUGGAGAGGGAUGCUGGUGAGGAGUGAGCUUCUUGGAUCAGGUGGACACUUGAGACUAUGUUGGCAUCUCCUGCCUGGAGGGGAGAUGAGAGGGUAGAGGGGGUUAGAAGCUGGUGAAAUGGACACGAAGAGAGCAGAGGGAGAGAGCAGACUGUCUCAUUAGGGGGAGAGAAAUUGGGAGUGUGUAGCAAGGUGUAUAUGGGUUUUUGUGUGAGAGACUGACUUGAUUUGUAAACUUUCACUUAAAGCACAAUAAAAAUUAUUUUUUUUAAAAUGAGUGUUCAUGUAUAAAUGAAUCUGGAGAAAUAUACUCUAAAUUGCUAAUAGUGGUUAUUGGGGUGGGGGGAGAGGAUUAUUGGAGGCUUUCAUUCUCUAUGUUAGAUCUAUAAUUUUAAGUGUUUUAAAACAGUUUAAAUGUACAUUUGUUAUUUUUGAAAUCUGAAUAAAUAAAGCUGUGUUUUAAAGGAAAGAGAGAGGUGAUUGAAUGUUUCUGUCCCCCAGCCUGCGACAUGUUCUCUGGUCCCUCUUGGAAACAGGUCAGCUGGCUGCUCUAUCUGCCCCAUGCCUGCCAAGCUCCCAUGGCCCCUACCUCCUGCUUCUGCUUCCUCGCGAGCGCUUCCUUCCUCACCUUGUGUCAUCUGGCUUUGGGCCCAGGUGCCUGGGAAAGAAACAACUCUCUGAGGACAUCACAUGGCCUCCAACCCAGUGUGACUUCCACAAUGUCACUUGACUCUGCUGAGCAAUUUCACCCAUUUUAUCUUUAGGAAGUUUCUCAGAUGCAUCUUAUUUUCCAGACCCUUAUUCCCUCAGGGAAAUCCUGAUGGCAUAGUGGUUAAGUGCUACAGCUGCUAACCAAAAGGUUGGCGGUUUGAAUCCACGAGGCACUCCUUGGAAACUCUUUGGGGCAGUUCUACUCUGUCCUAUAGAGUCACUAUAAGUCAGAAUCCACUUGAUGGCAACAGGUUUUUUUUUUUAUUAUUAUUAUUAUUCCUUCAAGACAUACCCCUGCUCUCAUCAUGGGGCCAACUUUUACUUUUCCCUCAGGAGUCAGCUCAAAGGCCUCUGCCUCCGGAAGCCCCGCCUAAUCCCAGCCUCUCUCUCCUCCUGCCACUACCUGCACAAGACUCACCACUCUUGUUGAAUGCCUGGCUCCCAUGUCGACUGUAGGCACUGUGAGGGCAGGAGCUAUGUCCAUCUCUCCCUGCUGUUGAUUGACUCACAUGCAGAGAUUCCCAAUUUGCCUCCUUACAUCCAAUCCCUCCUGUAUAUAGCUCCCAGGUGAAUCACUUUAAUCAUAUCACUUACCAGUUCAAGAACCUCCAAUGACUCCCUAGUGCCUACUGAGUCAAGUCCAAGCUCUUCCUCUUGGCAUUUAUGGUCCUUGAAACCUGAUCUUGUUCUCCCUAUUUAUAUUAACCUGUUCUCCAAGAAGGAACCCUGGUGGCACAGUGUUUAAGUGUUUGUCUGCUAUCCAAAAGGUCAGCUGUUCAAAUCCACCAGCUACUCUUGGAAACCUUAUGGGGCAGUUGUACCCUGUCUUAUCAUUAUGAGUAGGAAUGGACUUCAGUCUCUCAUCCAAAAAUUUAUGUACACCGCGGUAUGUACUUGCAGUUGCUCUGCGCCUAACAAGACAGCACACUCCCUCCCUCUGCUAUUUUCAUGUCCAUUCUGCCAGCUUUUGACCCCCUCUGCCCUCUCAUCUCCACUCCAGACAGGAGCUGCCCACAUAGUCUCAUGUGUCUACUUGAUCUGAGAAGCUCACUCUUCACCAGUAUCAUUUUCUAACCCAUAGUCCAGUCCAAUCCCUGCCUGAAGAGUUGGCAUUGGAAUGGUUCCUAUCUUGGGCUAACAGAAGGUCUGGGGACCACAACCUCCGGGGUCCUUCUAGUCUCAGUCAGACCAUUAAGUCUGGUCUUUUUACGAGAAUUUGAGGUCUGCAUCCCACUGCUCUCCUGCUCCCUCAAGGGUUCUCUGUUGUGUUG